GAUUAACGCUGGCGGCGUGCAUAACACAUGCAAGUCGAACGAUGAAACUUAAAUGAUUUCUUCGGAAUGAACUUAAGUGGAUUAGUGGCGGACGGGUGAGUAACGCGUGAGUAACCUGCCUUACACAAGGGGAUAGCCGUUGGAAACGACGAAUAAUACCCUAUGAAACUAUCACUUCGCAUGAAGCGAUAGUCAAAGUGUUAGCGGUGUAAGAUGGACUUGCGUCUGAUUAGCUAGUUGGUGAGAAAAAAGCCCACCAAGGCAACGAUCAGUAGCCGGCUUGAGAGAGUGUACGGCCACAUUGGGACUGAGACACGGCCCAGACUCCUACGGGAGGCAGCAGUGGGGAAUUUUGCACAAUGGGAGAAACCCUGAUGCAGCGACGCCGCGUGAUUUAGAAGGCCUUCGGGUUGUAAAAAUCUUUUGUAUAGGAAGAAAAUGACAGUACUAUACGAAUAAGGUCCGGCUAAUUACGUG
rnacentral:rRNA from 1 species